rnacentral:rRNA from 1 species
UACGGAGGGUGCAAGCGUUGUCCGGAUUUAUUGGGUUUAAAGGGUGCGUAGGCGGCCCGUUAAGUCAGUGGUGAAAGCCUCCAGCUCAACUGGAGAACUGCCAUUGAUACUGGCGGGCUUGAGUACAGACGAGGUAGGCGGAAUUGAUUGUGUAGCGGUGAAAUGCAUAGAUACAAUCAAGAACACCGAUUGCGUAGGCAGCUUACUAGGCUGUAACUGACGCUGAGGCACGAAAGCGUGGGGAGCGAAUAGG